rnacentral:rRNA from 1 species
UACGAGGGGUCCAAGCGUUGUUCGGAAUUAUUGGGCGUAAAGCGAGUGCGGGUGGCUUUUUAAGUCAGGAGUGAAAUCCCAGGGCUCAACCCUGGAAGUGCUUUUGAUACUGGAAAGCUUGAAUGUGGGAGAGGGUGCUAGAAUACCUAAUGUAGUGGUGAAAUACGUAGAUAUUAGGUGGAACACCGGUGGCGAAGGCGGGCACCUGGCCCAACAUUGACGCUGAGGAGCGAAAGCCAGGGGAGCAAACGGG